rnacentral:rRNA from 1 species
AUUGAACGCUGGCGGCAGGCCUAACACAUGCAAGUCGAGCGAGCGGCGGACGGGUGAGCAAGGUAUGGGGCUGGGCCCGAGAGAGGGGGACAACUACCGGAAACGGUUGCUAAUACCGCAUACUAUCGGCUGAACCCAUAUGGGAUUAGGGAGGUGGUGGGGUAAAGGCUUACCAAGGCGACGAUCCCUACCUGGUCUGAGAGGAUGAUCAGGCACACUGGCACUGAGACACGGCCCAGACUCCUACGGGAGGCAGCAGGGGGGAAUCUUGGACAAUGGGCGAAAGCCUGAUGUAGCCAUGCCGCGUGUAUGAAGAAGGCCUUCGGGUUGUAAAGUACUUUCAGUCGGGAGGCGUUACCGACAGAAGAAGCAACGGCUAACUCCGUGCCAGCAGCCGCGGUAAUAC